CGUCAUAUUAGAAUCUUUUAUAGAUCCCCCUGAAUCCACCUGUGGAGGUCAACAUUUGUCUGCAAAACUUCAAUUUAAGUGGUUAUUUGCAUGGUUGUUAAACUUUUGUUUUUGCAUUUUAUAUGAUAUAUUUUGUUAUGCAAAUUUUCAUUGUAUUGUUGUUAAUAUACAUUUUCUUAACUCAUCUAGAUGUUGCUUGGUAAAUUAAAAAUUUGCCACAGUUAAAUCUAUGAUUUACAUCUAUAAAGAAUGAAAUGCGUAUGUUCACUCCUAAUUGUCUUUUAAUUUGACUUAUCUAUUCUCUAUAUAUUUUGAAUUGUUAUUUUUACAUAACAUUGAAUAUUAUUUAUGAAUUUUUGUGUUAAACGUGUAAUAAUGGUAAUGUUAUAUAUUGUAUAGUAAACAGA
rnacentral:lncRNA from 1 species